rnacentral:rRNA from 1 species
UUGAAAGGGAAACGAUUGAAGUCAGUCGUACCUGUGGGUAAUCAGCCUUUUGGGUGUGAUUUUGUGGAGUGUGAGGAGUUAAACGCCUUCAUGCCUGCAUAUUCGUGCACUUUGGGUGUAUUUACCCGUGUGGUAAGUUAACAUCAAUUUCGGUGGUCAUAAAAUGGCUGGAGGAAUGUAGCUUCGAUCUCGUAUUGAAGUGUUAUAGCCUUCGGUAGAUGUGAUAAUCGGGAUUGAGGAUUGCAACGGAUACCCUUCGGGGCUACCUGUCUGAUCUCUGAUCGUUGCUCUGGUGCCGAAAGCUUGCUUACGGUUAUCAAAGUCGAUGGUCAAUAGGUUGGAACGGGUUAAAUUCGUUAAGGAUGUUGACGUA